GGGUGCCUUUUGGGCAAGCUGGGCUGGAGCCCACCCUUACUGGAGACCCUGGCAUCCAAGGCAUCAAAGGAGAGAAGGGGGAGCCCUGCUUGUCCUGCAGCUCGGUUGUAGGGGCCCAGCAUCUUGUGUCCUCCACAGGGGCCAGUGGAGAUGUGGGUUCCCCUGGCUUUGGUCUGCCUGGCCUUCCGGGUAGAGCUGGGGUUCCAGGGCUGAAAGGAGAGAAGGGUAACUUCGGGGAGGCAGGGCCAGCUGGCAGUCCAGGGCCACCAGGACCAGUGGGGCCAGCAGGCAUCAAAGGGGCGAAGGGGGAGCCCUGUGAGCCGUGCCCAGCCCUGUCCAACCUUCAGGAUGGGGAUGUCCGUGUGGUGGCCUUGCCUGGCCCAUCCGGAGAGAAGGGGGAACCUGGGCCUCCAGGCUUUGGCUUGCCAGGAAAACAGGGCAAGGCUGGAGAGCGUGGACUGAAGGGGCAGAAGGGUGAUGCUGGGAAUCCUGGAGACCCUGGAACGCCGGGCACCACAGGGCGGCCAGGACUGUCAGGAGAGCCUGGAGUUCAGGGCCCCGCGGGGCCAAAAGGAGAAAAGGGCCAACCCGGUCUACCAGGAGUUCAAGGGCCCCCAGGACUGAAGGGCGUGCAGGGAGAGCCAGGGCCUCCAGGAAGGGGAGUCCAGGGACCCCA
rnacentral:lncRNA from 1 species